UACGGGGGGAGCAAGCGUUGUUCGGAUUUACUGGGCGUAAAGGGCGGGUAGGCGGCCACCGCAAGUCAGUUGUGAAAUCUCUGGGCUUAACCCAGAAAGGUCAACUGAUACUGCGGGGCUAGAGUGCAGAAGGGGCAACUGGAAUUCUCGGUGUAGCGGUGAAAUGCGUAGAUAUCGUUUGGAACGCCAAUGGUGAAAACAGCUCGCUGGGAGUGUGCUGACGCUGAGACACGAAAGCCAGGGGAGCGAACGGG
rnacentral:rRNA from 1 species